rnacentral:rRNA from 1 species
GAUGAACGCUGGCGGCGUGCCUAACACAUGCAAGUCGAGCGAUUUACUUCGGUAAAGAGCGGCGGACGGGUGAGUAACGCGUGGGUAACCUGCCCUGUACACACGGAUAACAUACCGAAAGGUAUGCUAAUACGAGAUAAUAUACUUUUAUCGCAUGGUAGAAGUAUCAAAGCUCCGGCGGUACAGGAUGGACCCGCGUCUGAUUAGCUAGUUGGUAAGGUAACGGCUUACCAAGGCGACGAUCAGUAGCCGACCUGAGAGGGUGAUCGGCCACAUUGGAACUGAGACACGGUCCAAACUCCUACGGGAGGCAGCAGUGGGGAAUAUUGCACAAUGGGCGAAAGCCUGAUGCAGCAACGCCGCGUGAGCGAUGAAGGCCUCGGUCGUAAGAC